GUUGGGGGCCUUUUAAGAGAAGGAACCUGCGAAUCGGGUCAGGACUGGAAGGUAGCAGCCCUAAGGAGAGUUUUCUUUUGCUAAAAGAAUGUUCUCCAACUUAC
rfam:Chlamydophila pneumoniae CWL029, complete genome.